CCUACGGGAGGCUGCAGUAGGGAAUUUUGCGCAAUGGGGGCAACCCUGACGCAGCAACGCCGCGUGAUCGAUGAAGCCCUUCGGGGUGUAAAGAUCUGUCAGUGGGGACGAAAACUGACGGUACCCACAGAGGAAGCACCGGCUAACUCCGUGCCAGCAGCCGCGGUAAUACGGAGGGUGCGCGCGUUAAUCGGAAUUGCUGGGCGUAAAUCGCUCGUAGGCGGUAUGUGAAGUCAAGGGUGAAAUCCCCGCGCUAAACGUGGGAACGGCCUUUGAAACUGGCAAACUGGAGGGUGUGAGAGGAUAGUGGAAGUCCAGGUGUAGGAGUGAAAUCCGUAGAUAUCUGGAGGAACAUCAGUGGCGAAGGCGACUAUCUGGCACAUAACUGACGCUGAGGAGCGAAAGCGUGGGUAGCAAACAGGAUUAGAUACCCCUGUAGUC
rnacentral:rRNA from 1 species